UACAUGAGGACCUCGCUCCCCCUGGAGUUC
rnacentral:piRNA from 1 species